GGGUAUUUAAUUUAGUGGUAUGAUCCUUGCUUAGGGUGUAAGAGGUCUUGAGUUCAAUUCUCGGAAUACCCC
rnacentral:tRNA from 1 species